CUAUCAGGGCUGGGAGAGAACUUAGUAGGCAGAACAUCAGAGCUGGCAGGUAUGUUAGAAAAUAAAACAUAGAAUAUCAGAGAUGAAAGGGAACUUAGAACGUAGAAUAUCAAAUAGGGAGGGAUCUCCGAGUGAAUGACAUUCAGACUGGAAGGGGCUUCAGAUUUCAUUUGGUCAAACAGCUAUUAUCAGACCCAUAUGGGGUCAGGAAACACAGUCUAAGAAGCUGGGGACUAGAUAAACUCAGAUCACUGGCAUCGUCAUGAGCAAGAAGACAUACACUGCUUAGUCACAGAGGGUAAAUCCAGUAGCUCUGGGUGGAAGUUGAAAAAGGACCAAGUGAGGCUCGAUAGCAGGAAAGAUUUCCUAACAAUUGGAGCUGCCCAAAGUAGGGAAGGCUGCCUCAAAGUGAGGGAUUUCCCUUUUCCUGGAGGUCAGCUAGCAGAAGCUGCAUGGACAUUUGUUAGACUGCAGGUUGCGGAGAAGGCACUGACUGGCAAUGGUAGAACCUGGAAGUUCUCUAUCCCAAUGAACUCGCAGGAACCGAGAUCUAGGGGAUGAAACAUUGGACAAACAAGUUUUGAUUGGAAGUAAAAGGAAGACAAGAAAAUGAGGAAUAUGGAAUAUGGAAGGGGAGCUCCAAAGAAUGAACUGAAGGAAGGAUAGAUCAAGGAGUCAGGUUGCAGGGCAAGAAAGGCCUUGGAAUUCGCUGCAGGGAAUGAAGAAACAAAAAAUCCCCAGUCUUCCUCUGGGUCGGCAGGAGGAGAGACUCCCAGGCAGCUAAAAGCUCCCCAGGGUGAGGAAUGUGGGGAAGGCAACCUGGUGGUGUUUCCACGGAAGCCGGUUUUUCCGAACCCCCUCCUCUGACCAAAGCCAUCCUGGGGAGGGGGACGAUCACCCCAGGCCCUCCAUUUGGUGCCUUCUAGUCUAUGCUGCUGGAAGCAGGCAGCUUGGCAGUGACUCAGAAGUGGGGGGUGCCGAGAGCAGAGGAGGAGCCUCCUAUAGCCAAGUGCUAAAAAAAGACCUGAGGGUCAGAGAGUAGCCAACAAUCCCCCUGCCCUCAGCUGCUUUUAAUAGAUGGGCUCUAUGACUUGAGAGGUCAAAGGGACCUUUGAGAUGAGGUAGUCUCCAAUUUAAUUAAACAAGCAUUUACUAAGGGCCCACUAAGCGGAUGGCACAGUGCCAGGGGCUGGCAGGGAAGAGGCAAACCAAAUUAAAUGAUCACCACCAGCUCCUGCCUUCAAGGAGCUGCCCUUCAAGAAGGGCGUUCUACUGGGGGAAACAUGUUAAUAGAGAGAGCCUCGUACAAUAAUUUGAGAGGGGAGAGAACCUGAAGAACUGUGGGCAUCCGGGAAGGCUUUCAGGAGGGAAAUGACUUCUGAGCUGAGAUGAGAAGUGAAGGAUACUAAAGGACUGAUCCAGGAGUGUGUUCCAGGCACAGAGAGCUCCUCGUGCAAAGGCAAGCAGGCAGGAGAUGGAUUGUGGAGUUCAAGGAAAGUGUGCAGUUUCACAACUAGAAUUUAUGGAAGUGAAUUCUGGGAAACCACUAGAAGUUCAUAGAAUCAGAACUCAUUAGUUUAACUUCUUGGAUUUCAAAUGAGAAAACUGAGACCUCCAAGGGGCAUUAAUAUACCCAUUUUAUAGAUAAGAAAACUGAAGCCCAAAGAAAUUAAGUCAUUUACAGAUGGAUAGUGCCAGAUCCAACAUUCUGAGCCCAGAUCUCCAGAUUCCUAGGCCAAAAUCCCUUUCAUGCUGUCUUUUUUGGAGGAUCUAGGUUUGUGAAUGUACUUUGACCUUAGAGAUUAACUCUCUCAUUUUAUGUCUGAGAAAAGUGAAAUACAUGGAGGUGGAGGGAUAGGGCCAAAGUCCCAGAAAGGAUGAGUAGCAGAAGCUUGAUCGUAGAUGCUUUUACUUCAGAGCUGAUGCUCCCCGAUGCCACGGGAACCAGACUUCCACAAGGUCAUCAGGACUUAAGAAAAAGCUGCACCUGAGAGGCUCAGGCAAGACUUUGCAGCUUCAGAUGCCUCCAGAGAAGACAUUAGAUGGAUGCCUGAAAUGGCGUUAUUCUGUCCCAAAGUGGCCACCUAAUUUCAAUUGGCAAUAAAGUCUUUCUCCCAUUGCUCUUUCAAAGUUCAUCUCUCCCUGAACCCCUCUUCCUCAUUCUCUCAGGUACCUGUUUUCCAUCCCCAUGAUACCUGGUUUUGGAGUCAGGGAACCUGGGUUCAAAUACCAUGAGUAAUCUGCACCCAGAGAGAGGAUUGUGUGUGUGGAUCACAACAUAGUAUUUUCAUUUUUAUUGUUGUUUACUUGCAUUUUAUUUUCUUUCUAAUUUUUUUUCUUUUUGAUCUGAUUUUUCUUUGCAGCAUGAUAAAUGUGGAAAUACGUAUAGAAGAAUUGUACGUGUUUUAACAUAUAUUGGAUUAUACCCUAGAGGGAGUGGAGGGAAGGGAGGGAGAA